UGAUCUGAACAGUUCUCAGUAACUCCACAGCAAGAGUUUGCAGGGACGGCCUACUUACGGUAUUCAGUUCUCUGCCUGUUCUAAAAGGGAGACUGCUUUAAACAUUUUCUAAAACUAGAACAAUGAAUUAUUUGCGGGGAAAACUUUGACUAUUGCAUUGGAGAUUUUGUGGAGCUACUGCUUCCGGUCACAGGGCACCUCGGAUGGGCUGAAGCCGUCAGAUAAACCUUUUUAUCAGCAGUGCAUGGAGUCCCCAGGACUACUUUCCAUAUUCAACAAAACCUCUCUUUGCAUAGAUGCAGGCAUAAAAGCAGGACAUUCAUUCAGAAACCAGAGUGCCCUCAAAGGUCAUCACAGAGGCAGUUAAGUUCUUUGAUGCCAGGAAAAAUAAAAUGCUGCGUGCCUCAUGAAAUUUCAGAACCUGAUUGCAAAAGGAUCCUGCAAAGAGGAAAUAAAAUGUAGCAAGGUGGACUGCUCUACAUGAUGUGUUUGUCAAUGGAAUUUUUCCACAUCUCAUACCAUGAACAUGAGAAAAAAUGAUUAUUAAUGACUGAAGCUUGAUGAAAUUCCAAAGCCUACCUCUUCUCUUCUCAAAUUAGAGAAAAAUGAGCCGGCGGAACCUGCUGGAUCUGCAAGGUGUGCAGAGAGGCAUCCGAGAGGCGCCCCGCGCAGUAAGUAGC